ACUUCUAGUGCACGAAAUCAUAUUGUUGGCUUAUUCUGUUGGUGCUAGAAGUCAGAGGUUAAGGAAUCCUUCGAGUACAGAUACACAGCGGCGAAAGGAAGUGAUGGUUAAGCCGCUCCAUCUACAACAAACCAGCAGCUGCAAUCAAUGAGGCAAGACCUGGAUGAGUUGAAGAAAAAUUUAAAGGUUUUACAGAAUAUCAGGAACACAAACCGUUGGUUAAGAAAGAAAUGUUUGAGCCAGAAAUUCCAGAUUGGGAGUUAAAAUCGGGCUUUGAUCCAUCUAGAAUUAAAUUAAGAAAGCAGAGACAUACUUUCAGGAAGUUUUAAAGGAGAGAUUACCCAACCCUAUAAUUGCUUGCCAAAUGCUGAAGAGGUUGUGAAUGGUAGCGACUAUAAUUUCGAGGAUCUGUCUUUUUUAGAUCCUAAUUUUUUCAAAGCAGGAAAUUGUUCAGAACA